GCGUAAAGCGCACGCAGGCGGUCUGUCAAGUCGGAUGUGAAAUCCCCGGGCUCACCCUGGGAACUGCAUUCGAAACUGGCAGGCUAGAGUCUUGUAGAGGGGGGUAGAAUUCCAGGUGUAGCGGUGAAAUGCGUAGAGAUCUGGAGGAAUACCGGUGGCGAAGGCGGCCCCCUGGACAAAGACUGACGCUCAGGUGCGAAAGCGUGGGGAGCAAACAGGAUUAGAUACCCUGGUAGUCCACGCCGUAAACGAUGUCGACUUGGAGGUUGUGCCCUUGAGGCGUGGCUUCCGGAGCUAACGCGUUAAGUCGACCGCCUGGGGAGUACGGCCGCAAGGUUAAAACUCAAAUGAAUUGACGGGGGCCCGCACAAGCGGUGGAGCAUGUGGUUUAAUUCGAUGCAACGCGAAGAACCUUACCUACUCUUGACAUCCAGAGAACUUUCCAGAGAUGGAUUGGUGCCUUCGGGAACUCUGAGACAGGUGCUGCAUGGCUGUCGUCAGCUCGUGUUGUGAAAUGUUGGGUUAAGUCCCGCAACGAGCGCAACCCUUAUCCUUUGUUGCCAGCGGUUAGGCCGGGAACUCAAAGGAGACUGCCAGUGAUA
rnacentral:rRNA from 1 species